rnacentral:tRNA from 1 species
GCCUGACUAGCUCAGUCAGUGGAGCGUAUGAAUCUCGAUCUUGGGGUUGUGGGUUCAAACCCUAUGUUGUGUG